AGGUACCAAGUGGUAGCUGGUGUAAUCGAGCAGCGAGUUCUGGAGCCAUUGCUGCACCAGCACGAGCUUAUGCUGAGUGCUCUUUGUUUUGCCGUUCGGACUGGAAAUACAUUCCUUGGCUCUCUUCUAUGGGUUGAUUAUGCUCGCUGGAUCGGAGUCCAAUAGAGACCCAAAAGUGACCGGCUGCAGUUAGGAAAGUCAAAAUCAGUUUCACCCUGGAAGACAAAGCAGGUAUUUAUACAUUGAAUGAAUAGACACAGUUUGUGUUCCCUCAGGUAGUCCGGGAUCACUAUAGGCUUCGAUUCGUCGACUUGAAUGAAACUGUUCAACUGGAAUUUGUGUUGUCUUUGUCUUCAUUGUCUGACUUUUAAGAGGAUUUUGGAGCACUAUUGGGAGAAAUUUCAUUUCAGAUUAGAAACUACCGCUCCCUUGCAAUUUGAUUUAGAUAGAUUUUGGAA